GACGAACGCUGGCGGCGUGCUUAAUACAUGCAAGUCGAACGGGAAGCUGACGCCGUUGAGUGGUACGUGGCGGACGAGCGAGUGAUAUGUAGGAAAGUAGCCUUUCGUAGGCGGACAACAAACGGCAGGUAACGCUAAUACCCAACGUGAAGGUGGCUGAGCUGCUAUUCUUGAAAAGGCCGGUGCCUACAGAUGAGCCUGCACCUGAUUAGCUAGUUGGUAGUGGAGUGGACUACCAAGGCGACGAUCAGUAGCUGGAUUGGGAGAAUGAGCAGCCACAAUGGGACUGAGGCACGACCCAUACUCCUGCGGGAGGCGGCAGGAGGGUAUUUUGAGGAAUGGGCGCAAGCCUGACGAAGCCACGGUGCGUGAACGAGGCAGCCCGUUGGGGUGUAGAGUUCGGUCAGGGCGGACGGAACUUGACGGUACCGACAGAGGAAGCACCGGCUAACUCCGUG
rnacentral:rRNA from 1 species